UACGGAGGGUGCUAGCGUUGUUCGGAAUUACUGGGCGUAAAGCGCACGUAGGCGGCUUUGUAAGUUAGAGGUGAAAGCCCAGGGCUUAACCCUGGAAUUGCCUUUAAGACUGCAUCGCUAGAAUCGUGGAGAGGUGAGUGGAAUUCCGAGUGUAGAGGUGAAAUUCGUAGAUAUUCGGAAGAACACCAGUGGCGAAGGCGACUCACUGGACAGGUAUUGACGCUGAGGUGCGAAAGCGUGGGGAGCAAACAGG
rnacentral:rRNA from 1 species